CUGUUCUCUGUAGCCAACCAGAUGAGACUAUACCUAAACAUUUAGUGAGGAUGAAGAAAUUGGCAGGAAUGCAGCCUACCAUUUACUUUGAUCCUUGAAAAUUUCUGGAAAGCUCUAAUAUUGCUGAGCUUUUUAAUAAACCUAUUUUGUGACGGAGUAUUACUGGGAUUCAGUUAGAAAUUGGACUAAAGAAAGGAAAUCUAAUCAGUUGAUGUUGGUUUAUAGGGUGAAUAAGUAAGACUUCCACAUGUCAGUUGUUAUCUAGGCUUCAGAGCUAUCAUUCAUCAAAUUUCUAACACAGGUAGCCAUGUUCCCAAAUUUGUCUUUAGUUUUCAAUUUAAGGAGAGAAAGUCUUGAUGAAGAUUUCUUAUAUUUGAGCUUUUCUAAGACAGUGAAAAAUUUAAAGCAGGUGUGGCAACUAUGAAUGUUUUCUGCGAACUUGGGAGGUACAUGAAAUAUUGCACCUUUUAUAGGUUGAACAACAUCAAUUUGAUGUUUUUGCAUGUCAAAAAUUGUCAGAUAUCAGCAAUUUUAUAUGCUUUACCCUAGUGAUUUUCUCUAAAUCAAUUUAAUUCCAUUUUGAACUUUUAUCUUACCAUAUUGGCAUAAAGUUAAGCUUAGUCAUUUGCAAGAUUUCUCCAUACCUCCACCUUCUUCUGUCCCUAUUCUCCCUUCAACCUCCCCCUUGCGUGGAAAUACCUCAAAGUUCCAGAUAGAAGAGGAUUAGGGGAAGGGGCCAACAUCUGCUUGAAUUCACACUGUCUCUUUCACUGACCCCUGUCUGCCUCUGUUCUUUCUGUGCUGUUCUGGGAGCAUGGGAGCCUCAAGACAGGCUGCCUAAGGAUCAGCACUGGUCAGUGGUUUCUUCUCUGGGGUCUUACUGCCUCCAUAAUAAGUACAACCAAGAGUGCAAAAGGAUUUCCAGAUGACCAUGCCAAAGCUUACCGUAAAGCAAAUGGAUCACUGUACAUAAUGCCCAGAAUAUCAUAGGCACUCAGUAAGUAUUGAUUAAAGGAAUAAAUAAAUGAUCUGAAGUGGUCAAUCUAAGCACAAUAAGCAGUGAGUGGAAAAAUAGCAAUAGCAAACACUCAUAGGGCUUUUAAUGUGACAGGCAUUGUUCUACAUGCUUUACAUACAUUAACUCAUGCAGUCCCCAAAAUGACUCUUGGAGGUAUGAAACAGAGCAGAGCUAAAGUAACUUCUCAGGUUGCUGGAAGGCCCCUGUAGUCUGACUCAAGAGCCUGUAUUAUAUUUAAGCACUAGUUCAUAUGGCAGCUCAGACAUAGACUCAAGGAUGAUUUCUAACUUCGUAGACAAAGAGCUGGGCCUUAGAUGUCCUUAGAUAUUGCAAGUUGACUUCACACAAGGUUUCACCAGCGGCAUUUAUCCAUGGUGCUUAAGAGCACUAACAAAUUCCAGGCAACAUCCUGGCAUGCAGCCAGCCCACUGGCAUUCCUGUCUGGCACACUUUGCAGGACUGGUCAUGUGAGAAAGACAGCUAACAGCAACAAUUGCUGGGUGAUGAAUAGCCAGAAGGAGGGCAGCUUGAAGCAUGACAGGGACAAGGAAUGCAAUCAGGAAAGGCUGACCUGGAACUUGGAGCGGGGCCUGGGUGAGAGCUCUGGGAUUCUGG
rnacentral:lncRNA from 1 species